CUUGAUCGGUCUUACCAAGUAAAUUUUAACUCAUUUUAAUCUCCAUUUUACUAGAAACAUGUGACAGCUAUAAAGUGCAACCUGUUGUUCAUAUUGAGUUAGAUUGCUGUGCUAGAUUUAAGAAUAAGACCACACCUAAAAAUUCCAAUUUCAAGAAUCUUUAGUAAAGACAAAGAUUUAAGUAUUUAAUUUUUGUCUGUUCAAGUAAGACAAAUUUCUGUGAACAUAAACACUUCAUGAAAAGGUGUUCCAUUCUGAUUUAUUACGUACGUAAAGUUUUGAAAAGCAUGUGACCUGAGGCUGAGCUCUGAUUGGCUUGUUUCGAAUUUUCCUCAGGCCGCCGCACUCUGCGCUCCGGACCCGCCCACUUUUGUUGUUAGCGAAUCAAUAUUAUUGUUAUAUAUUUUGGCCUCAUGUGAUUGGACCAUUCUCAACGAGUCUCAUUACCGCGCAGCAGAUGGUCAGUUAACGGACAGGUACUGAUUAAUAUGGAAGCAAGCGAAAUAUCGCGAGAUGAAAGAAAAUUCGGUUCUAUCUUUACAAAAAUAAACUUUCACAAGGAGUUCGGAUGAAGAAAAGAAAAGAAUCAAGGAGCUUGGACCACAUCGACCCAAUCUGCAAACUCAGCAGCAGUCAGUUUUUUAAUGAUUACCUUCAUUACAUUACUGAUAAUAAACCCACAUUGAACUCAGAUUCACUGAUUUACAGUACAGUAAUUGCAUGCUUUUGGGUAUUGGAUAUAAUUAUCCCAACUUCUCAUCAGUGCAUUGAUUCAGUGACGGGAUGACGUUUUGUACUGCGCAUGUGCGAGCAGUGCGCUAACGUGCUAGUUAUGAAAAGGCAUUUCCUCCUGCCAGAUUCUCACCAUGGAGGAGCUCGAUGAUGCUGCAGUUUCCACUUUAAAAGCUGCUAACAUUGGGGAAGACAUUUUACCGUCUCUUUCAAGAGAGGAUAUUUGAUAUCUCUUUCCUGGUCCUGAGCCAUUUGGCUUUUGACUCAUAAGGAAGAACAGUUGAACAUGCCAUUGCUGUUUUUACCGCCCUGCCACUGCUCUUCCCAUCCGGCUCUGCAGCACCCAAGAAAAGGGGCCCAAUCAGUGAGGCUCUUUUUCAUGUUCUUACGCCCUCAGAGGAUCCAGAUACCUACGCCCACCAGCGUGUGCUUUCCAGUCCUGUUGUGCUGGUUGGUGAGGACAACUGCAUGGUGGUUAUAGGUACAACUCCAGUUGUAGAAUUUGAGAAAUUCUAUCUCCUGGCCUGUUACUAUGCUUUUCACCUGACCUAUCCCAAGUGUAUUUUUUGUCAGCCUUGGAUAUUUGUUAAAGUGGCCACCUUUUG